GCCUACGGGAGGCAGCAGUGGGGGAUAUUGGACAAUGGGGGGAACCCUGAUCCAGCGACGCCGCGUGAGUGAAGAAGUAUCUCGGUAUGUAAAGCUCUAUCAGCAGGGAAGAAAGAAAUGACGGUACCUGAGUAAGAAGCCCCGGCUAACUACGUGCCAGCAGCCGCGGUAAUACGGAGGAUGCGAGCGUUAUCCGGAUUUAUUGGGUUUAAAGGGUGCGCAGGCGGCGAGUUAAGUCAGCGGUAAAAUUUCGGGGCUCAACCCCGACAAGCCGUUGAAACUGACUUGCUAGAGUGGGCGAGAAG
rnacentral:rRNA from 1 species